rnacentral:rRNA from 1 species
GCGAUGGGCGCAGUCUGAUGCAGCGACGCCGCGUGAGUGAUGACGGCCUUCGGGUUGUAACCUCUUUGUCAGGGAAGAACCGUGCUGACGGUACCGGCCGCACCUUCACCGGCCCUAUACGUGCCGCCACCCGCGGUUAUGUGCCAGCAGCCGCGGUAAUAA